rnacentral:rRNA from 1 species
CCUACGGGGCGCUGCAGUGAGGAAUAUUGGUCAAUGGACGAGAGUCUGAACCAGCCAAGUAGCGUGAAGGAUGACUGCCCUAUGGGUUGUAAACUUCUUUUGUCAAGGGACAAAAUCAGGCUCGAGAGCCUGACCGAGGGUACUUGAAGAAAAAGCAUCGGCUAACUCCGUGCCAGCAGCCGCGGUAAUAAGGAGGAUGCGAGCGUUAUCCGGAUUUAUUGGGUUUAAAGGGUGCGUAGGCGGACUGUUAAGUCAGCGGUAAAAGCCCGGGGCUCAACCCCGGCGAGCCGUUGAAACUGGCUGUCUUGAGAUGUCGAGAGGUAUGCGGAAUGCGCAGUGUAGCGGUGAAAUGCUUAGAUAUUGCGCAGAACUCCGAUUGCGAAGGCAGCAUACCGGCGGCGAUCUGACGCUGAGGCACGAAAGCGUGGGUAUCGAACAGGAUUAGAUACCCUUGUAGUC